rnacentral:lncRNA from 1 species
GUAAAUACAGAUGAAGCUUUGCUGGCUUGCCCCUCAUUUCCUGCUGUGCGGCCUGGUUUCCAACAGACCAUGGACCAGCGCUGGUCCAUGGCCUGGGAGUUGGGGACCCCUGCUUUAAAGAACACCCAGAUCCAGGGAAAGCUGAAGGGCCUUGAAACACUGACAUCCAGAGAAGAAGAAUAAUAAACAAGAAAGUGGCUGCAAUGCCAGAGUUUCAACAGAUCCUUUGUGGCUCUAGAACUGGAACUCUGUCUCCUUUUCUAAGACAGGAUGUGGGGAAUCUUAUAAAAAGCUUCAUAUUUGUAUUCACAAGUUAAUGUGGGAAAGAAACCAGGAUUUCUGUGUCCUUAAGUGAUACGGAGACUCUGGCUCCAGCAAGACAAGGCUCCGAUCCCAGAUGUCAGUCCCCAGCGAUUCAGGGACACUUCAACAUCCUGACUUCAAAUGAAAAAUCAGGUUGCUUUUCGAGAGUUGUAAAAGACUGGAAACUCCCUGACCACUCGCCAACUCACAGAUGCCAGAAACUCUGCAGCCAUAGCCCUGGCCAGAGAUUUUUCUGGCAGAGUGGGGUCCCCUGACCUCUUUAAGAGGAGCACUGCUUUCUGAGGGCUCAGAAGGCAAUCUGAGGCUCCAGCAUCUUGGCCAGGGGCUGUGAAGAGACAAGUGGAGCACAGGGUGGGGUAUGCAGGGAGCAGGAGGUAUCAUGGGCGGGCCCCUCAGGGAGGGCCGUGGAUUAUUCAAAAGUGCCCUGGCCUGCUGUGCAUUCUGGAGGAUAUUCACCAUCAACCCUGCCAGGAAAGAAGGCCUCACAAAACACCAGGUCUGAAGGAAGGAUCAAGGAAUUUCUUUGACAGAUGUUAAUCAAGAAAACCUGAACACCAAGGGAGGCUAUUGCUUCCUCCUGAAACUAUUUGACUGGCUUGGUCUCUUUGUACUUGGGUGGGACUAACCAUGAGAAAAAGCUCAUCUGUGUGAGUUUCGUGGCUCAAUGUUAUGGGGUACAGACGUGAGCUACUCCUCUAAUGUCCAGGAGCUGUAUCAAUCCCAAGAAAUGACUUGCAAUAUCCUGCAUGUGUGUGUGUGUUUUCAGGGAGGGAUCUGGAACAAUUUUCUGGGGCCUGUAAAUGUAAGCUGAUUCACAAGAUGAAGUGCCCCCUCCCUGCCUCUUCCCCCAUCCCGGAAUUGAGAACGGCUCUAGAUUAUGAGGCAGAGGAGGCUGGAGCAAUGACUUUCCUCCCGGAAUACCCGACAGUACCCUGCCUGGCAAGCCUUGUGUACUGUCUUUAUAGGAGUACUUACUAAACUGAACAUAUAGAAGCAGCCUUCAACUUUUAGGAAUCCACAUACAUUCCUCCCAUCCAGAAGGUUAGCUUGUGAUGAGAGAUUCUUUUGGGGAUCUCAUUAACAGUUUCUUCUGUUUGUGGGAUGGCUCUUCCCAAAGGGGUCUUAAAAUCAGAGAACAGGCCUGGCGCAGUGGCUCAUGCCUAUUAUCCCAGCACUUUGGGAGGCCAAGGUGGGCGGAUCACGAGGUCAGGAGAUUGACCAUCCUGGCUAAUGCAGUGAAACCCCGUCUCUACUAAAAAUACAAAAAGAUUAGCCAGGCGUGGUGGCGGGUGCCUGUAGUCCCAUCUACUCCAGAGGCUGAGGCAGGAGAAUGCCAUGAACCCGGG